GUCUUGUUGAAAGGUUCAAUAACACCCAACUUCAGCUUCCUCCCAGAUGACAGGAAGUUUUUUUUCCUAGGAUUUCCUGAAACGUCAAUGAAUCCAUGUUGCCUUCCACACGCUGCAGGUUUCCAGUGCCAGAGGAUGCAAAGCAUGACGAGCCACUACUAUGCUUUACUGGAUGAACAGUGUGCUUUUCAGCGUAUGCGUCAUUCUAUUUCCUUCUGACAGAACGCUGAUCCAUUG